rnacentral:rRNA from 1 species
UACGUAGGGGGCAAGCGUUGUCCGGAUUUAUUGGGCGUAAAGAGCGUGUAGGCGGUCAGGUAGGUCGGUUGUGAAAACUGGAGGCUCAACCUUCAGAGGUCGACCGAAACCCCCUGGCUAGAGUCCGGGAGAGGAGAGUGGAAUUCCUGAUGUAGCGGUGAAAUGCGCAGAUAUCAGGAAGAACACCCGUGGCGAAAGCGGCUCUCUGGAACGGUACUGACGCUGAGACGCGAAAGCGUGGGAGCGAACAGG